rnacentral:rRNA from 1 species
GACGAACGCUGGCGGCGUGCUUAACACAUGCAAGUCGAACGGAGUGGCGAACGGGGGAGUAACACGUGGGUGACCUGCCCUUCCCUUCGGGAUAAGCCUGGGAAACUGGGUCUAAUACCGGAUAGUGUGGCAUGGGGCCGCGGCCUAUCGGAUGGUUGGUGGGGUAAUGGCCUACCAAGGGGGCGACGGUUAGCCGGCCUGAGAGGGUUGACGGCCACAUGGGGACAGAGACACGGGCCGGAGUCGUGCGGGAGGCAGGCGUGGGGAAUAUUGCACGAUCGGCGGAAGCCUGAUGCAGCGACGCCGCGUGGGGGAUGACAUCCUUCGGGUUGUAAACUCCUUUCUCCAUCGACGCGGUAGAUGAAGAAGAAGCACCGGCUAACUACGUGCCAGCAGCCGCGGUAAUAC